UACGUAGGGCGCAAGCGUUGUCCGGAAUUAUUGGGCGUAAAGAGCUCGUAGGCGGCCUGUUGCGUCCGCUGUGAAAUCCCGGGGCUCAACCCCGGGCCUGCAGUGGAUACGGGCUGGCUAGAGGCAGGCAGGGGAGAACGGAAUUCCUGGUGUAGCGGUGAAAUGCGCAGAUAUCAGGAGGAACACCAAUAGCGAAGGCAGCUCGCUGGGACGUUACUGACACUGAGGCGCGAAAGCGUGGGGAGCGAACAGG
rnacentral:rRNA from 1 species